AUGGCGAUGGCGAAGCUGCGUCGUCUCGUGCGAGGACCCCGCACCGUCCGCGAGGACCGCCUCAGCGCCCUCUCCGACGACCUGCUGCGCCUCAUAGUGAGCAGGCUGGAGGACACCCGCACCGCGCUCUCGACCGCCGUUCUCUCCCGGCGAUGGGCGCAUAUCCCCCGCGAGCUGCCGGCGCUGGACUUGAAGGUGAGCGACAUACUCCCGCCAGAGUACAGCCAGACCGUCGACCUUCGCGAGCGCAACUUGCCGGGUGACACCGGGAGCCUGGACGGUCUCAUGGCGCACUGGGAGCUCCGCAGCACGAGGGCGUUCACCGACAGCAUCGCUAGCUUCGUGGCAGCGGACGGUAGUAGCGACGGCGACGCACGCCGGCGCGCCAAGACCCUCCGGCUCGAGUUUUUCUCCGCGAACGACGUCGCCUGCAUCGAUCGCCUGGUCGCGGCCGCCGUCGGCGCGUGGGGGGUGGACGAUCUGGAGAUCGUCGCCAGGCCAGCGUCGCGCCUCCGCAGCCUGACUCUGGGCAACUGCAUGCUCCCGCCGCUGCACACCUACGAGGCUCUCACGACGCUCGUCUUGCAAGACGUGGCCGCGUCCACGCCCGUCGCCGUGUACGAGAGGCUGUUCAGCGACUGCACACGGCUUGAGGUGCUGCAUCUCAAAUCUUGCGGCUGCACGGAGGACCUUGGCCAUCUUGUGGUCGACGCGCCGGGUUCAGCGAUCAGGGAGCUCCUCGUGGAGGAAUGCGCAUUUUCAGAGAUCACGCUGCACGCCCUCCCAAUGCUCGCCCGCCUGGCAUGCCUUGGCAGAACCGUGAUGCUCAGGUUCGGCUCCGUUCCGAGCCUCACGCACCUAAACCUCACAUUCUGGGAAGAUGACGAACCCCUGGACUUCCUCCGCAAAGCCCCAGCAGCCACCACCAACCUCGUCCUCCGGUUCACCGGGCCGAGUAGAUGGGUCGUGCCGAUGCACCUGGCCACGCCGUUCCGCGGCCUCAAGCGGCUCCUCGUCGCCGACCUGCCUUCGAAUUGGGAUGUCUCGUGGCCGCGCAUCCUCCUCUUCUUCGCGCGGUCGCUCGAGGUCCUGCACAUCCACGUGGCUCACUCCGACGAUGAACCAGGAGAGGAUAUAUGGUGGCUGAACAUACGGAAGAAGCUGCGGCGGCACCGGCACAUGAAGGAGCUGGUCAUAAUUGGAUUCGCGCCAACACCGCGCCAGAAACUGCUGGUGAAGGAUGCUUUGAGCAUGUGCAGAUCUUUGCAACGCCUUGUUCUGCUCAGGGAUGGCCAUGUGCGAUACAAUGGACUCUGGGAGUGGGAGAUGGUCGGGCAGCCAGCCUGUCCGUGGAGCGCUGAUGAUACUAUGGCGGUGACAAAACUGAUCAAGUCUGCAUCCGAGCCUCUCCUUGAUGUGAUCUUGGGAUGA
rnacentral:rRNA from 1 species